rnacentral:rRNA from 1 species
GACGAACGCUGGCGGCGUGCCUAAUACAUGCAAGUCGAACGCAGUGGGGACGGGUGAGUAACACGUGGGUAACCUCCCAUCAGAGGGGAUAAACCUUGGAAACAGGUGCUAAACCGAUACUGAUGGAUGGACCAGCGGUGCAUUAGCUAGUUGGUGAGGUAACGGCUCACCAAGGCCACGAUGCAUAGCCGGCCUUGGAGGAUGAUCGGCCACACUGGGACUGAGAAACGGCCCAGAAUCCUACGGGAGGCAGCAGUAGGGAAUCUUCGGCAAUGGACGAAAGUCUGACCGAGCAACGCCGCGUGAGUGAAGAAGGUCUUCGGAUCGUAAAACUCUGUCUUUAGGGAGGCGUUAUCUAACCAGAAAGCCACGGCUAACUACGUGCCAGCAGCCGCGGUAAUUC